AGACGGAGGGCGCAAGCGUUGUUCGGAAUUACUGGGCGUAAAGCGCACGCAGGCGGUUUGCUAAGUCCUUUGUGAAAGCCCGGGGCUCAACCCCGGAAUUGCAUCGGAUACUGGCAGACUAGAGACUGGUAGAGGCUAGCGGAAUUCCUGGUGUAGCGGUGGAAUGCGUAGAUAUCAGGAAGAACACCUGUGGCGAAGGCGGCUAGCUGGGCCAGUUCUGACGCUCAUGUGCGAAAGCGUGGGGAGCAAACAGGAUUAGAUACCCUGGUAGUCCACGCCGUAAACGAUGGGCACUAGAUGCCGGGCAUAUAGACGUGUUCGGUGUCGCAGCUAACGCAUUAAGUGCCCCGCCUGGGGAGUACGGUCGCAAGGCUGAA
rnacentral:rRNA from 1 species